GACGAGGUGGCCGAGUGGUUUAGGCGGUGGACUGCUAAUUCAUUGUGCUAUGCCCUCGUGGGUUCGAAUCCCAUACUUGUCG
rnacentral:tRNA from 1 species